CCUACGGGAGGCAGCAGUGAGGAAUAUUGGUCAAUGGGCGCUAGCCUGAACCAGCCAAGUAGCGUGAAGGAUGACUGCCCUAUGGGUUGUAAACCUCUUUUAUAUGGGAAUAAAGUGCAGUAUGUAUACUGCUUUGCAUGUACCUUAUGAAUAAGGCUCGGCUAACUCCGUGCCAGCCGCCGCGGUAAUACGGAGGAUUCGAGCGUUAUCCGGAAUUAUGUGGGUUAAAGGGAGCGUGAGGGGGUUGUUAAGUCAGUUGUGAAAAUUUGCGGCUGAAACGUAAGAUUGCAGUUGAUACUGGCAUCCUUGAGUACAGUAGAGGUAGGCGGAAUGCGUGGUGUAGCGGUGAAAUGCUUAGAUAUCACGAAGAACUCCGAUUGCGAAGGCAGCCUGCUGGACUGUAACUGACGCUGAGGCUCGAAAGUGUGGGUAUCAAACAGGAUUAGAUACCCUUGUAGUC
rnacentral:rRNA from 1 species